UACGUAGGGUGCAAGCGUUAAUCGGAAUUACUGGGCGUAAAGCGUGCGCAGGCGGUUCUAUAAGACAGAUGUGAAAUCCCCCGGGCUCAACCUGGGAACUGCAUUUGUGACUGUAGAGCUGGAGUACGGUAGAGGGGGAUGGAAUUCCGCGUGUAGCAGUGAAAUGCGUAGAUAUGCGGAGGAACACCGAUGGCGAAGGCAAUCCCCUGGACCUGUACUGACGCUCAUGCACGAAAGCGUGGGGAGCAAACAGG
rnacentral:rRNA from 1 species